rnacentral:rRNA from 1 species
UACGUAGGGGGCUAGCGUUGUCCGGAAUCAUUGGGCGUAAAGCGCGCGUAGGCGGCCCGGUAAGUCCGCUGUGAAAGUCCAGGGCUCAACCCUGGAAAGCCGGUGGAUACUGCCGGGCUAGAGUCCGGAAGAGGCGAGUGGAAUUCCUAGUGUAGAGGUGAAAUUCGUAGAUAUUAGGAAGAACACCAGUGGCGAAGGCGGCUCACUGGUCCGGUACUGACGCUGAGGUGCGAAAGCGUGGGGAGCAAACAGG